AUUGAACGCUGGCGGCAUGCUUUACACAUGCAAGUCGAACGGCAGCACAGGGAGCUUGCUCCCGGGUGGCGAGUGGCGCACGGGUGAGUAAUACAUCGGAACGUGUCCUGUUGUGGGGGAUAACUGCUCGAAAGGGUGGCUAAUACCGCAUGAGACCUGAGGGUGAAAGCGGGGGAUCGCAAGACCUCGCGCAAUUGGAGCGGCCUCGCGUCCGAUUAGCUAGUUGGUGAGGUAAACGGCCCACCAAGGCGACGAUCGGUAGCCGGACUGAGAGGUUGAACGGCCACAUUGGGACUGAGACACGGCCCAGACUCCUACGGGAGGCAGCAGUGGGAAUAUUGCACAAUGGGGAAACCCUGAUGCAGCGACGCCGCGUGGAGGAAGAAGGUCUUCGGAUUGUAAACUCCUGUUGUUGAGGAAGAUAAUGACGGUACUCAACAAGGAAGUGACGGCUAACUACGUG
rnacentral:rRNA from 1 species